rnacentral:tRNA from 1 species
GGGGCAUUAGCUCAGCUUGGUUAGAGCACUCGGCUGAUAACCGGGGGGUCGGCAGUUCAAAUCUGCUAUGCCCCACCA